rnacentral:rRNA from 1 species
UACGUAGGGGGCAAGCGUUGUCCGGAAUCAUUGGGCGUAAAGAGCGUGUAGGCGGCCUUAUAAGUCGGCUGUGAAAGUCAAGGGCUCAACCCUUGAAUGCCGGCCGAUACUGUGAGGCUAGAGUCCGGAAGAGGCGAGUGGAAUUCCUGGUGUAGCGGUGAAAUGCGCAGAUAUCAGGAGGAACACCAACGGCGAAGGCAGCUCUCUGGGACGUUACUGACGCUGAGACGCGAAAGCGUGGGGAGCAAACAGG